rnacentral:rRNA from 1 species
UACGUAGGGUGCGAGCGUUGUCCGGAAUUAUUGGGCGUAAGAGCUUGUAGGCGGUUUGUCGCGUCUGCUGUGAAAAUCCGGGGCUCAACCCCGGACUUGCAGUGGGUACGGGCAGACUAGAGUGUGGUAGGGGAGACUGGAAUUCCUGGUGUAGCGGUGAAAUGCGCAGAUAUCAGGAGGAACACCGAUGGCGAAGGCAGGUCUCUGGGCCACUACUGACGCUGAGGAGCGAAAGCGUGGGGAGCAAACAGG